UACGUAGGGCGCAAGCGUUAUCCGGAAUUACUGGGCGUAAAGAGCUCGUAGGUGGUUCGGUAAGUCGGAUGUGAAAUCUCCAGGCUCAACCUGGAGGGGUCAUUCGAUACUGCCGUGACUAGAGGUCGGUAGGGGAGUGUGGAAUUCCUGGUGGAGCGGUGAAAUGCGCAGAUAUCGAGGAGGAACAGCCGAGUGCGAAGGCAGGUCUGCUGGCAUUAACUG
rnacentral:rRNA from 1 species